AAGAAGUUCGUUGCUCACUCUCUUUUCCGUUUUUAUGCCGUUUGUUGGUGUCUGGAAGUCUCUGCUUGGUGUUGGCGUUUUGAGAAUGGUCUGGUCAAGAGCCACGUGCUUUGUACGGAGCUGCAGUAGGACCUUGAUGACCGCUUGUGAAGGCAUCGUGAUGGGUUUCAUACCUGCAGCGAGGUUGCAGCUUGACCCUCUACCCACUUGACAGGGGAUUUGCUGAAAUGGUGACUGCUAGUAACGUGCAUCGUUGUAAAGAGAUGGCAGCUUGAUCCCCAAGCUACCCACUUGACAGGGGAGUAGCCGAAUGGUGCCCAGCAGGAACAUGUCAUUGUGCCACUUUCACUUUCUGCUGGGUUUGUUCAGCAUCUCUGAAUUUGAGGAAUUGCUUCAUUUGGGCCACCUUGGUUGUGCACUUCAUCAGGUAGGCCUCAUCAGUAAUCUUUGCUAGUGACUAUCUUGAGGAUGACACAGGCUGGAGUCUCUGAACAAAGUUGAAGACAGCGGUUUUCUGAUGCAUGCUUAUGAAAACCAAAUGCUUCUACAGUAAGAAGCAGCAUUUUAGUUUUGUUGCCUUGUGUUCUUUUGUCUAUGCCUUUCUAUACUGGAGGACAUCUUGGAAGGUGUGUUGCAUGAUGAUUUUCAUGGCUAGAGUGCUGACAUUGAUGACAGCAAUUCACAUAACUGAUAGCAUCAGUAGUCUGCACUACAUAAAAUUAUUUGUGCCCACGCAUAAUUGCCAAUGUUGAUUUCCUUUCAGGUGGUCUUUCUUUAGUAAUGCUUUAUUUAGACAAUUCAUUGUCUGGGAUGAAGGGGCUAAAGGCAGAUGCAACUGCCUGACAAGGGCCCCCCUACCUGAAGAGUCCAGCAGUGCAGGUGUCAUCAGUGGCAUCAAAAGCAGGUGUGUUCUCCUUUUUAUCUUCAUGGCGAUUUUUAUUUGUGAUGAAACUUAAUUGACACCUCUUGUCCUAAUUGUUUUUGCUGGAAA
rnacentral:lncRNA from 1 species